rnacentral:rRNA from 1 species
GCAUUUUUUCUUACACAUGUGUUUUUCUUUUUUUGAAAACUUUGCUUUGGUAGGCCUUCUAUAUGGGGCCUGCCAGAGAUUAAACUCAACCAAAUUUUAUUUAAUGUCAACCGAUUAUUUAAUAGUCAAAACUUUCAACAACGGAUCUCUUGGUUCUCGCAUCGAUGAAGAACGCAGCGAAAUGCGAUAAGUAAUAUGAAUUGCAGAUAUUCGUGAAUCAUCGAAUCUUUGAACGCACAUUGCGCCCUUUGGUAUUCCAAAGGGCAUGCCUGUUUGAGCGUCAUUUCUCCCUCAAACCCUCGGGUUUGGUGUUGAGCGAUACGCUGGGUUUGCUUGAAAGAAAGGCGGAGUAUAAACUAAUGGAUAGGUUUUUUCCACUCAUUGGUACAAACUCCAAAACUUCUUCCAAAUUCGACCUCAAAUCAGGUAGGACUACCCGCUGAACUU